ACGGAGGGUGCGAGCGUUGUCCGGAAUCACUGGGCGUAAAGGGCGCGUAGGCGGUCACUACAAGUCACUUGUGAAAUCUCUGGGCUUAACCCAGCAGCGGCCAAGUGAUACUGUGGGACUAGAGUGCGGAAGGGGCAACUGGAAUUCUUGGUGUAGCGGUGAAAUGCGUAGAUAUCAAGAGGAACACCUGCGGCGAAGGCGGCGAUCUGGGAAGAUACUGACGCUGAGGUGCGAAAGCGUGGGGAGCAAACAGGA
rnacentral:rRNA from 1 species